GUGCUCCCUUCAGCAGCACAUCUACUAAAUUGGAAUGAUACAGAGAUCAGUAUGGCCCUUCACAAGGAUGACAUGUAAAUUCAUGAAGCUUUACAUAUUUUU
ensembl:snRNA U6 U6 spliceosomal RNA